UACGGAGGGUGCAAGCGUUAUCCGGAUUCACUGGGGUUAAAGGGUGCGUAGGUGGGCAGGUAAGUCAGUGGUGAAAUCUCCGAGCUUAACUCGGAAACUGCCGUUGAUACUAUUUGUCUUGAAUAUUGUGGAGGUAAGCGGAAUAUGUCAUGUAGCGGUGAAAUGCUUAGAUAUGACAUAGAACACCAAUUGCGAAGGCAGCUUACUACACAACUAUUGACGCUGAGGCACGAAAGCGUGGGGAUCAAACAGG
rnacentral:rRNA from 1 species